GUUAAGGUUAAACUUGAUUGUCAGUUCUGUCAUUUCUACUGGUUUGUUCUUCAUUCAUUUGAUCUCUGUUGCAUUCUUAGGUCCACUGAUUUAUUUCAUAUCAGCUACUGCAGCAGUGAGAAGAUCUACUUAUCAGACCCCCUUGAGGUUGUUGAUCUGUACAAAGUGCAAAGACAACGGAUUCUGAUUCUGCAUCAGCAUAUCGAAGCAAGAGUUCAAAAGCUGAAGGACAUCAAACAGGACGUGAAAGAAAUGAAAGAGAAAGUUAGCCAUCUGGAAGAGAAUCUAUCAAUCCAAGAAAGCGACAUAAAGCCCAGAUUUGAAAUGGAAGACAGGAGGGCUAAUAAGUUCAGAAGAGGAGUUCAACUCCAUGAGACACAGAAGACAGAA